CCUUGGAAGCCAACCCAUCACUUCCAUCAUCUUCUUUCCUUUUGCUAGUCUUUCUCUCCUCUUUCUGUAGGCACAGGCUUGCCAAUGGAGACGCUAUCUUCCCUGUCUACAAGCCAAGGUCUCAUGUCAUGUCCUUCUUCUUCAGUCAUCUCUCGCACUGGUGGGUCUGUUUCAGUUAUUGGGUUUUCUCUUCCACGUUUCAAGACUCGAUCUUUACCAAAUUGCAUUAGGAAACAAAGUUCGAGGGUCCCAAGGGCCUCGGUUGCCAUUGAACAGCAGACCAAAGAACCCGAAGUUGCUCUUAUAAGAAUUGGCACAAGAGGAAGCCCACUAGCAGUUGCCCAGGCUUAUGAGACACGGGACAAACUCAUGGCAAUACAUUCUGAGCUAGCUGAAGAAGGGGCUAUUCAAAUCGUGAUAAUAAAGACAACAGGAGAUAAAAUAUUAACUCAACCACUUGCAGAUAUAGGUGGGAAAGGAUUGUUUACAAAAGAAAUAGAUGAGGCAUUAAUAAGUGGUGAAAUUGACAUUGCAGUCCACUCCAUGAAAGAUGUCCCCACGUAUUUACCAGAGAAGACAAUCCUUCCAUGUAACCUUCAGCGGGAGGAUGUUAGAGAUGCAUUUAUUUCCUUGAGUGGAUCUUCACUGGCUGAGCUUCCUGCUGGGAGUGUCAUUGGUACUGCUUCCCUCAGAAGAAAGUCACAAAUACUCAACAGAUAUCCAUCACUCACUGUAAGCGAUAGGGUGACCUGUUUUUAUUGUUAUUCUUCUAAGACCAUGAUAAUGAAUUUCUACAGAAUCUUUUUGCAGGGAAAGCUGCUUAAUAUAUCUAUAAAAUCAUAUUUUCUAGGUUCAUUUAACAUUGACUAUUCAUUCGAAUGUGCCAAUGCAGCUGUGACAUCUUGUUCCUAGAAAAUGUUAUAUUGCAGUGCACAGAAUUAAAUAUCAGUUGCUACCAUAAUAUAAUGCAGCAAUGUGAUGGAUUUUGGCCGUCAAUUACCACCAUCCCUAGUAUAGUGAUUAUCUACUGUUAUGUACAGGGUAAAAAAAAAAUAGAACGCUAUUUUUCGUGCAUGAUUUUGUCCUUUCCUAUAUUUUAUGCUAAAAACAGUUAAUUUUUUUUUUCUGAUAUUCUUGGUGGGUGACAUCUUUCUGUUGCUUCUCUUUUAUCCUUUUGGUUAAUUUCAUAUUCCAGGUCUUAGAGAAUUUUCGAGGGAAUGUUCAGACACGGCUGAGAAAACUUAAUGAAGGAGUGGUCCAAGCAACGCUAUUGGCAUUAGCUGGACUUAAACGCUUAAAUAUGACAGAAAAUGUGACUUCAGUUCUUUCACUUGAUGACAUGCUACCAGCAGUUGCCCAAGGGGCAAUUGGAAUUGCUUGUCGAAGUGAUGAUGAUAAAAUGGCUGAUUACCUAGCUUCAUUGAACCAUGAGGACACUAGACUAGCAGUUGCAUGUGAGAGGGCCUUCCUUGAAACCUUGGAUGGAUCAUGCCGCACUCCAAUUGCUGGGUAUGCUUGUAAAGGUGAGGACGGUGAUUGCAUAUUCAAAGGGCUGGUGGCUUCCCCAGAUGGAACCCAAGUACUAGAAACUUCUAGAAAAGGUCCCUAUACUUUUGACGAUAUGGUUAUGAUGGGAAAGGAUGCUGGCAAGGAACUUCUUUCGCGGGUAGGCCCAGGAUUCUUUGAUAGUUGAAGAGCUUAAUAGCAGCUUAAGAAGGCUGCAUGGUUUAAUUUUUAGGCGUAGCACUUUAGGCUUCCUGUUCCUUGAUCCCUCUUGAUCUAUUAUUCAUCAUAUAAUUAAGAGGAAUAGCUGUUUGAUUUGUUGUAAAGUAGAAGGGAAUGUUUGGAGGCUGAUAAUUUGUGAAAAGCCAAUUUUUGCUUGCUCUUUCUCACGAAUAUGUUUUACAUAUGCGUGUAUUCUUUGCAAAACGUGAGUAAUGACGUACUCAAGAGGGUUGGUGGCGGUCGCUGCUCUCCCAUAAAAUUUAAUUUUUCAAUUGGGAGUAGGCUGAUAUUUG
rnacentral:misc_RNA from 1 species